UACGUAGGGGGCAAGCGUUGUCCGGAUUUAUUGGGCGUAAAGAGCGUGUGGGCGGCCAGACAGGUCCGUUGUGAAAACUCGAGGCUCAACCUCGAGACGCCGAUGGAAACCGUCUGGCUAGAGUCCGGAAGAGGAGAGUGGAAUUCCUGGUGUAGCGGUGAAAUGCGCAGAUAUCAGGAAGAACACCCGUGGCUAAGGCGGCUCUCUAGUACGGUACUGACGCUGAGACGCGAAAGCGUGGGGAGCGAACAGG
rnacentral:rRNA from 1 species